rnacentral:rRNA from 1 species
UACGUAGGGUGCAAGCGUUGUCCGGAAUUAUUGGGCGUAAAGAGCUCGUAGGCGGUUUGUCGCGUCGAAUGUGAAAAACCCGGGGCUCAACCCCGGGCCUGCAUUCGAUACGGGCAGACUAGAGUUCGGUAGGGGAGUCUGGAAUUCCUGGUGUAGCGGUGAAAUGCGCAGGAUAUCAGGAGGAACACCGGUGGCGAAGGCGGGACUCUGGGCCGAUACUGACGCUGAGGAGCGAAAGCGUGGGGAGCAAACAGG